rnacentral:rRNA from 1 species
GAUGAACGCUGGCGGCGUGCCUAAUACAUGCAAGUCGAGCGAACAGAUGAGGAGCUUGCUCCUCUGACGUUAGCGGCGGACGGGUGAGUAACACGUGGAUAACCUACCUAUAAGACUGGGAUAACUUCGGGAAACCGGAGCUAAUACCGGAUAAUAUAUUGAACCGCAUGGUUCAAUAGUGAAAGACGGUUUUGCUGUCACUUAUAGAUGGAUCCGCGCCGCAUUAGCUAGUUGGUAAGGUAACGGCUUACCAAGGCAACGAUGCGUAGCCGACCUGAGAGGGUGAUCGGCCACACUGGAACUGAGACACGGUCCAGACUCCUACGGGAGGCAGCAGUAGGGAAUCUUCCGCAAUGGGCGAAAGCCUGACGGAGCAACGCAGCGUGAGUGAUGAAGGUAUUCGGAUCGUAAAACUCUGUUAUUAGGGAAGAACAAAUGUGUAAGUAACUAUGCACGUCUUGACGGUACCUAAUCAGAAAGCCACGGCUAACUACGUG